rnacentral:rRNA from 1 species
AGCCUUUGGAAAGGAUUAAAGGUUAUACCUGCCCAAUGUUAUAUUAAUGGCCGCGGUACUUUGACCGUGCUAAGGUAGCACAAUCAAUUGGCCCUUAAUUAGGGUCAGGUAUGAAUGGAGUUACGGGGCUUAGCUGUCUCUAGACUAUUUAAUUGAAGUUGCUAUAUAGGUGAAAAAGCCUGUAUUAAGAAAAAAGACGAGAAGACCCUUAGAGUUUUACUUAAAAAAGAGUUAUUUCUUCACUAGUUUUGUUGGGGCAACAUAGGAGAAGAACCAAACCUCCUAAAGGAUAUAAACCGAUGUUUUUAAAUGUGAAUAAACUACCUUAGGGAUAACAGCAUAAUUUUAAAAAUAAGUUUGUGACCUCGAUGUUGGACUAGGAAACUUAAGGGCUAGCCGCCUUUUGGUAAGGUUCUGUUCGAACUAUAAUUCCU